rnacentral:snRNA from 1 species
UUUUACUGGUUUGCCCUCGUUUCGAACAUGGUUCUUGCCUUUUACCAGAACCAUCCGGGUACUGUCCCAACUAUGGACUCAAUACUCUGUCUAAUUUUUGGCAGCCUUUUUUUAAAGAAA